GCCAGAUGGACAUGGGUCAGGAGAUGAGGCUCAGGCAGAAGUUACCUCCACUGCUCUAAACAAGACCAAGUCAUCAAGAAAAAGGGGAUAAAAUCUGGGGGAUUUACCUUCAACUCAUCUAUUAUUGAUGGUUAGUCUAGAAUGGGUUAACAUCUUUUUUUCCUACCCUGGUGAACAACCUAUUGCAAAACAAAACUGGGCAACAAAGGAAUGCGCUGCAGUUGAAAGGCAUUUGAGAAGGUUCUUGGUGGUGAAUGAAGCACCAGGAAAAAAAGACUGUCAGCAGUGUCUUCCUGCAGAACCUGAAGCCCUUGAAGGCAGAGACUGAGGGCAUUAAAAUAUUUUGGUAAAAUCGGCAUUUCUUUCCACAGGAGAAAAUUUCAGUAACAGAUCAAAAUGCACAGUGUUACUGAGGUCCUGAAAGCUGUGCAUUAUGAUAUUUUCAUGCAAUAUUCUCUGGAGGUGAAGGUUUACACCAGUGAGAGUGCUUAAGUUUUGUUAAAAUAAACUGUGUUAAUGGUG